rnacentral:sRNA from 1 species
CUUCAGUCUUCCCAGCGAGGAAGGGCAAAGGUAUCCUGGCAUGCACCUGCUCCACAGCCCUGGGUCUAGGAGCAGAAACGUCAGGAGACUGGAACUGGCCCUGGGCAGGGGGCAGGGGCCCCGGGGAGCAUCCCUCAAGGAAUCCAGCGAAAUUUCAUUGAUCGUCCGUGCCGCUGACUCUAAGAAGGUGCACCAGAUCGAGCUUGCGCCCAGGGAGAAGAUCGUAAUCCUCCUGUGUGGCCGGAACCACCAUGUGCACCUCUAUCCAUGGUCGUCCCUUGAUGGAGCGGAAGGCAGUUUUGACAUCAAACUUCCGGAAACCAAAGGCUGCCAGCUCAUGGCCACGGCCAUACUCAAGAGGAACUCUGGCACCUGCCUGUUUGUGGCCGUGAAACGGCUGAUCCUUUGCUAUGAGAUCCAGAGAACGAAGCCAUUCCACAGAAAGUUCAAUGAGAUUGUGGCUCCCGGCAGCGUGCAGUGCCUGGCGGUGCUCAGGGACAGGCUCUGUGUGGGCUACCCUUCUGGGUUCUGCCUGCUGAGCAUCCAGGGGGACGGGCAGCCUCUAAACCUGGUAAAUCCCAAUGACCCCUCGCUUGCGUUCCUCUCACAACAGUCUUUUGAUGCCCUUUGUGCUG